rnacentral:rRNA from 1 species
UGGGGAAUAUUGGACAAUGGGCGCAAGCCUGAUCCAGCCAUGCCGCGUGUGUGAAGAAGGCCUUAUGGUUGUAAAGCACUUUAAGCGAGGAGGAGGCUACUUGGAUUAAUACUCUAAGAUAGUGGACGUUACUCGCAGAAUAAGCACCGGCUAACUCUGUGCCAGCAGCCGCGGUAAUACAGAGGGUGCGAGCGUUAAUCGGAUUUACUGGGCGUAAAGCGUGCGUAGGCGGCUUCUUAAGUCGGAUGUGAAAUCCCUGAGCUUAACUUAGGAAUUGCAUUCGAUACUGGGAAGCUAGAGUAUGGGAGAGGAUGGUAGAAUUCCAGGUGUAGCGGUGAAAUGCGUAGAGAUCUGGAGGAAUACCGAUGGCGAAGGCAGCCAUCUGGCCUAAUACUGACGCUGAGGUACGAAAGCAUGGGGAGCAAACAGG